CGUUUGGACAUGUAUAGGACGCACCACGCGCGUGAAUCGGGCUUCGACGGCCGACCACAAAACUAUGUUCAUCUCUGAAAGUGAUCAUGGAUGCAUCAGUGCUGCAACGUUCAACCCUAGUACCCCCAUACACACUACGUACGGGCGUACGGCAGACUAACCGCAGCUCAGAGUGCCCAUUCACAGAUUCACUACAGGAUCAAAUCAAAUAAACGCUCACAGUGACGCCAUUCUUCAACCUGUCCGCCGCUCGCACAUCCAUCGGUGACGCCAUUCCGUAUGAUCCAAGCUCAUCGAGCUGUCCGCCGCUAAUUGUUUACCAAGCUUCCGUUAACCACCCUCGCGUCUGUUCUCCUUUCCUAAUCACGUGAUUGUGUCAUUCUUAACCCACUGCUGCCGCUGUACGUGCUUAGGCCACCUCCAUCCACACCCCCAAACCUCC
rnacentral:lncRNA from 7 species